UUUUCACUCCAUUAUUUGCUAUUGGUAAAAUCAACUUUCUUGGUAAAAUAAGACCUCUUCCUAUCGCCCUCUUGUAGCCUCUCUCUCUCUCUCUCUCUCUCUGGUUUCCAUGCUUCUUCCUCUUCUCAUCUCUGCUUGCUUUCUCUAGUCUAUCUGAAAUUUCAGAACGGAGGAGGAGUCUCUCUCACGAACUCUGGGUCGCUCUCUCUGUCCUACCUGUGCAAGUGGCUUGGUGCAGACUGAAACAUGGAUAUGAUGGAAGUUCUUUUCAGAAGCUAAUCAUCAAACAGAAUUGUGGGAAUUUGAAGAAUGGGUUCGAAUGUUAAGCUCAUGAUUGCGGAGAAGAACAAGUUUCACGGAAAGGCGUUGUCUCUAUCAUACACAAAGACCGCCAUUACUGCAAUCAAGGAGAAGUUCAGUUCAGAGCAGUUGGAAAGGUUUAAGGGUAGUUGUUUUAGUCAUCUACUACUCAUUGAGGACCUAAAGUGGACUCCACAAAUUGUCCAUGGGCUGUUGCUAAGAAAGGUUGAUCCGAAGACAGUUAAAACCGUGAAAGGUGUUUCAUUCUUGGUUGGUAAUAAGUUGAUACAAUUCACGAAGCAACAGUUUUGCCUCAUCACGGGGCUAAGAUAAAGGGUGUAGGAAGAAGCAGCCAAUAACUGUGUUGUUGAGUCCCUUUAUCGGUCCUAUGAGGAAAAAGAGGAAGCUCCCUGUUUCAAAGGGCACCGGAACCCCCACUGCUUUUAAUCCAACAAAGCCCGUUCCCAUUGAGGAUGUCAAGGCUGUAAUAGACUUCUGCACCACUUGGAAAAGCAAUAUAAGAUCAACAGCGUUCUAAAAAGAAGUGGUUUUGGGGAAUGCCUUGGAGUUCUGUAUUUGUUUUUACGUGUUGGCACCUUUGGAAAUGGCGGAAUAGGCGUGUGUUUAGUGGAGCUGAUGAUCUAGCCAUUAAUCCUCGUUAGACUUUUUUGUGCUUCAGUUAUGGAGUGGAUUAAGGCUUCAUCUGUGAGUCAGAAGGGGACUGAUGUGACUCAACUCCUUUUGGCUUGGGAUCUUCCAGCUGGUGGCCAAUUUAAAUUAAAUGUGGAAGGUUCUAGAAAGACAUUUUGAUGUUGUAUUGGCGCAGGGGAGUCAUCAGGGAUUCUAAAGGUGACUUGGUUUCUGGUUUUGCCGUCAAUUUAGGGAAAUGCCAAAUUCUAGAGCAGAAGUCUGGGGGCUUUUCUUUGGUUUGAAGUUGGCUCUUGAGAAAGGUCUCAGUGAUCUAGCCGUUGAAAUGGACUCUUCUCUAGUUGUGAAACUGUGUCUGAAACCUUCUCUCCUUGGUUUGCACCCUAUGGCCUCCUUGAUUGAUAGUUGCUGUGAUCUUAUGAAGCAACUUGGUAAAUGCACCCUCAAGCAUAUAUAUGGAGAGAAGAAUAGAGUUGCUAACGCAACUGCCAACCGGAGCUAUAAUUUAGGUGAUUAGUUGGUUUGUUUCUGGGUUGUAGAAAAACUCUUGCCCAACUGCCAUCUCUUCGAGCCGCACCUCCGCACUACAAUAACAAAAAAUGCUGGUUUAUAAAUCUAAGGCUUCAAACUGAGGAGGUAUUGACUAAAAGAUUCUGUUGUAUACAUGGAAAUGUUACAAAAGGCAAUUUGCUUAUCCGUUGGCGGUUGGAACUGACUGGACGACUGCUGAUUGUUGUCUGCAAUCAUUUUUAGAACCAGUAAAACUGCCUCCGAAAAAAUGAGGAUCGAAGAAACAAGAUGUUGGGGUUACCGAGGACGCUCCACUUCAAUGCCAGGCCAAAAUAGAGCUGUAUGUGCGGGGACUUUGGAAACAUGGGUAUGCUAUACCAUGGACCAAAGUCCGCAAGGUGUAUGUCCCCUUCAAUUUUGGAGGGUGUCAUUGGGUCGCACUUGAAAUCGACUUUGUGAGGCGUACAGUCACUGUGUACGACUUCUACGUUGAUUUUACUGCUCAGAAGAAGGUGGUACAAUUUCUUAAGCCUAUUAGCCAUGCACUUGCACGUAUUCUUUAUGAUAUGCGAUUUUAUGAGAGUUCGGAGCUUCAGGAGGUCAAGAAAAUGGCGACUCAGAAGCCGAACUUUGAGGCAUGGACAAUUUGCGGGCAUGGAGAUGUUCCGCAACAAGCUGAUGGUGCUUCAUGCGGAGUUUUUGCAAUCAAAUUCAUUGAGUAUGCCAGUGCCGGGCUUCCAUGUCAUACACUUGACCCUUCGAAGGUUGCCUAUUACCGGUUGAAACUCGCAAUAGAGGCUUUGAGGGAGGAGGCUUAUCUAUGAGGUUUGAGGCUUAGUGUUAUUACAUAUUAAGACCAUCUUUUAUCCACCUUUCAAAAACACAUCCUAUGUAUCAGUUAUGCGGCAUAGUGUUACAACAUGUGUUGUAUUAUAAUUGGCAUUUUGAUUUGUAUGGUGGAGGGCUAAUAUUGCAAAUGUUUUAUACUCUUUUGUAUUAUAUGACAAAUGUGCUACCUAGAAACAUUAGCUUAUGUAUGCUCUCAUCAAAAUAUACUUGUUUUGGAUUAUUUUCCUCUAAGUGGAUAAAAGGUGGAAUCAAUGUUUUAUGAAA